GUGUCAGCAGCCGCGGUAAUACAGAGGUGGCAAGCGUUGUUCGGAAUUACUGGGCGUAAAGGGCGCGUAGGCGGCCCUGUAUGUCCCGUGUGAAAUCCCCCGGCUCAACUGGGGAAUGGCACGGGAAACUGUAGGGCUUGAGUUCGGGAGAGGGAAGCGGAAUUCCGGGUGUAGCGGUGAAAUGCGUAGAUAUCCGGAGGAACACCGGUGGCGAAGGCGGCUUCCUGGACCGACACUGACGCUGAGGCGCGAAAGCUAGGGGAGCAAACGGGAUUAGAUACCCUAGUAGUCC
rnacentral:rRNA from 1 species